ACAUGCAAGUCGAACGCUUUGUGGUUCAACUGAUUUGAAGAGCUUGCUCAGAUAUGACGAUGGACAUUGCAAAGAGUGGCGAACGGGUGAGUAACACGUGGGAAACCUACCUCUUAGCAGGGGAUAACAUUUGGAAACAGAUGCUAAUACCGUAUAACAAUGACAACCGCAUGGUUGUUAUUUAAAAGAUGGUUCUGCUAUCACUAAGAGAUGGUCCCGCGGUGCAUUAGCUAGUUGGUAAGGUAAUGGCUUACCAAGGCGAUGAUGCAUAGCCGAGUUGAGAGACUGAUCGGCCACAAUGGGACUGAGACACGGCCCAUACUCCUACGGGAGGCAGCAGUAGGGAAUCUUCCACAAUGGGCGAAAGCCUGAUGGAGCAACGCCGCGUGUGUGAUGAAGGGUUUCGGCUCGUAAAACACUGUUGUAAGAGAAGAAUGACAUUGAGAGUAACUGUUCAAUGUGUGACGGUAUCUUACCAGAAAGGAACGGCUAAAUACGUGCCAGCAGCCGCGGUAAUACGUAUGUUCCAAGCGUUAUCCGGAUUUAUUGGGCGUAAAGCGAGCGCAGACGGUUAUUUAAGUCUGAAGUGAAAGCCCUCAGCUCAACUGAGGAAUUGCUUUGGAAACUGGAUGACUUGAGUGCAGUAGAGGAAAGUGGAACUCCAUGUGUAGCGGUGAAAUGCGUAGAUAUAUGGAAGAACACCAGUGGCGAAGGCGGCUUUCUGGACUGUAACUGACGUUGAGGCUCGAAAGUGUGGGUAGCAAACAGGAUUAGAUACCCUGGUAGUCCACACCGUAAACGAUGAGUGCUAGGUGUUUGAGGGUUUCCGCCCUUAAGUGCCGCAGCUAACGCAUUAAGCACUCCGCCUGGGGAGUACGACCGCAAGGUUGAAACUCAAAGGAAUUGACGGGGACCCGCACAAGCGGUGGAGCAUGUGGUUUAAUUCGAAGCAACGCGAAGAACCUUACCAGGUCUUGACAUCCCUUGACAACUCCAGAGAUGGAGCGUUCCCUUCGGGGACAAGGUGACAGGUGGUGCAUGGUUGUCGUCAGCUCGUGUCGUGAGAUGUUGGGUUAAGUCCCGCAACGAGCGCAACCCUUAUUACUAGUUGCCAGCAUUCAGUUGGGCACUCUAGUGAGACUGCCGGUGACAAACCGGAGGAAGGUGGGGAUGACGUCAAAUCAUCAUGCCCCUUAUGACCUGGGCUACACACGUGCUACAAUGGCGUAUACAACGAGUUGCCAACCCGCGAGGGUGAGCUAAUCUCUUAAAGUACGUCUCAGUUCGGAUUGUAGGCUGCAACUCGCCUACAUGAAGUCGGAAUCGCUAGUAAUCGCGGAUCAGCACGCCGCGGUGAAUACGUUCCCGGGUCUUGUACACACCGCCCGUCACACCAUGAGAGUUUGUAACACCCAAAGCCGGUGGGGUAACCUUCGGGAGCCAGCCGUCUAAG
rnacentral:rRNA from 1 species